rnacentral:rRNA from 1 species
AUUGAACGCUGGCGGCAUGCCUUACACAUGCAAGUCGAACGGUAACAGGUCUUCGGAUGCUGACGAGUGGCGAACGGGUGAGUAAUACAUCGGAACGUGCCCGAUCGUGGGGGAUAACGAGGCGAAAGCUUUGCUAAUACCGCAUACGAUCUACGGAUGAAAGCGGGGGAUCUUCGGACCUCGCGCGGACGGAGCGGCCGAUGGCAGAUUAGGUAGUUGGUGGGAUAAAAGCUUACCAAGCCGACGAUCUGUAGCUGGUCUGAGUGGAUGAUCAGCCACACUGGGACUGAGACACGGCCCAGACUCCUACGGGAGGCAGCAGUGGGGAAUUUUGGACAAUGGGCGAAAGCCUGAUCCAGCCAUGCCGCGUGCAGGAUGAAGGCCUUCGGGUUGUAAACUGCUUUUGUACGGAACGAAAAGCCUCUUUCUAAUAAAGAGGGGUCACGACGGUACCGUAAGAAUAAGCACCGGCUAACUACGUG